rnacentral:rRNA from 1 species
GGGUCAGUAGGUUGGUCGUGCCACCGGUACGUACUGGUCUCACUGAUUCCUCCCUCCUGAAGAACCGUAAUGCCAUUAAUUUGGUGUUGCGGGGAAACAGGACUGUUACUUUGAAAAAAUUAGAGCGUUUAAAGCAGGCUAACGCUUGAAUACAUUAGCAUGGAAUAAUGAAAUAGGACGAUCGAUCCUAUUUUGUUGGUUUCUAGGAUUGACGUA